rnacentral:rRNA from 1 species
CAGUCGCCGCGGGAAUACGUAGGGUGCAAGCGUUAAUCGGAAUUACUGGGCGUAAAGCGUGCGCAGGCGGUUCGUUAAGACAGAUGUGAAAUCCCCAGGCUUAACCUGGGAACUGCAUUUGUGACUGGCGAGCUAGAGUAUGGCAGAGGGGGGUAGAAUUCCACGUGUAGCAGUGAAAUGCGUAGAGAUGUGGAGGAAUACCGAUGGCGAAGGCAGCCCCCUGGGCUAAUACUGACGCUCAUGCACGAAAGCGUGGGGAGCAAACAGGAUUAGAUACCCGUGUAGUCCCUGUCUCUUAUAC